UACGGGGGGGGGCAAGCGUUGUUCGGAAUUACUGGGCGUAACGGGCUCGUAGGCGGCCAACUAAGUCAGACGUGAAAUCCCUCGGCUUAACCGGGGAACUGCGUCUGAUACUGGAUGGCUUGAGAUUGGGAGAGGGAUGCGGAAUUCCAGGUGUAGCGGUGAAAUGCGUAGAUAUCUGGAGGAACACCGGUGGCGAAGGCGGCAUCCUGGACCAACACUGACGCUGAGGAGCGAAAGCCAGGGGAGCAAACGGG
rnacentral:rRNA from 1 species